rnacentral:rRNA from 1 species
GACGGGAGACGAAAAAUGAACUGGCAUUCUCGGGAGUGGCUGACUACUCCUAAAGCACUUGGUGGCAUGGGUUUCCAUGAUAUUGCACUAUUCAAUUUGGCUAUGCUCGCCAAGCAGGGAUGGCGGUUAGUAACGGAUCCAGAGUCUCUUUGUGCUCAUGUCUUGAAGGGACAAUAUUUUCCUACUUCAAAUUUCUGGAAUGCUUUGGCGCCAAGGUCAGCGUCUGCUACUUAGCAUGCAAUUUUGGCUGGUCGGGAUCUGCUUCAGAAGGGUGUCGUGUGGGGCAUUGGCAAUGGCGAAAAUGUGUGUAUACUCUCGGAUCAUUGGAUCCCCUCGACUCCACCACAACGCCUUCAUCCUCUAUUGCCUAUACCUCCAAAUGCAAGGUGA